rnacentral:sRNA from 1 species
GACCUGGUGUCUGUACUAAGUUUGGCAGGAACACGGCGACCUCCGAGAGGCCGGGGACCACCAAGUUGCCUAAGGAGGGAUGAGCCAGCCCAGAUCAGAGACGGAGCAGGUCACAACUCUCACGCUGUUC